ACCUUCGGGUGAGUGGCGGACGGGUGAGUAACGCGUGGGAACGUGCCCUUUGGUACGGAACAACUGAGGGAAACUUCAGCUAAUACCGUAUGUGCCCUACGGGGGAAAGAUUUAUCGCCAUUGGAGCGGCCCGCGUUGGAUUAGCUAGUUGGUGGGGUAAUGGCCCACCAAGGCGACGAUCCAUAGCUGGUCUGAGAGGAUGAUCAGCCACACUGGGACUGAGACACGGCCCAGACUCCUACGGGAGGCAGCAGUAGGGAAUCUUGCGCAAUGGGCGAAAGCCUGACGCAGCCAUGCCGCGUGAAUGAUGAAGGUCUUAGGAUUGUAAAAUUCUUUCACCGGGGACGAUAAUGACGGUACCCGGAGAAGAAGCCCCGGCUAACUUCGUGCCAGCAGCCGCGGUAAUACGAAGGGGGCUAGCGUUGCUCGGAAUUACUGGGCGUAAAGGGCGCGUAGGCGGACAGCUUAGUCAGAGGUGAAAGCCCAGGGCUCAACCUUGGAAUUGCCUUUGAUACUGGCUGUCUUGAGUGCGGGAGAGGUGUGUGGAACUCCGAGUGUAGAGGUGAAAUUCGUAGAUAUUCGGAAGAACACCAGUGGCGAAGGCGACACACUGGCCCGUUACUGA
rnacentral:rRNA from 1 species